rnacentral:sRNA from 1 species
UCUGCAGCCCGACUUGAGUGGAAAUCCUUUUUUUUCAUUUGAAAAAAAGAUUGGGAACGGAUGGCGGAAAUGUCU